ensembl:lncRNA
AGCCACACCUGUGGCAUAUGGAAGUUCCCAGGCCAGGGGUCAAAUGGAAGCUGCAGCUACAGGCUUAUGCCACAGCCACAGUAAUACAGGAUCCGAGCUGCAUCUUUGACUUAACACCAUUGGUGGCAAUGCCAGAUCCUUAAACCACUGAAUGAGGCCAAGGAUCAAAUCCAUAACCUCAUGGAGACUAGUUGAGUUCUUAACCUGCUGAGCCACAAUGGAACUCUGGUCAUUUAUUCCUUUAGCACACACAUAAAAAUUUCUUCUACUUCCCUAUGUCUGUGUAGUUAAGAUUUGCUAAGUAUUUACGUCCGCUUACAACAAUAGCCCCAAUUUCCUGACUUUUCAUAGGAGUGACUUCAAAGCAGUUCUUGGAUUGGCAUGCCUUGGUUUAUUAUUCAUUUUCAGAGCAUCCUUGGAUGUAGGUAAGGGACUAGCAUUUUAUCUUUAUCCUACACAAUUAAAACUGAGAGUAUGAAGGGAUGAUGGGGCUUGCCCCCAAAAGACAAAGACAUUAACUAUUAUUAUGAAACUUGGCUUAGUACUCAGAUCUCCUUUAAUACAGGAGGGUGUUUUCCCCUGAGAUUAUGCUUCCUUUACAUAUCUUUAAACUGGGAAGCCUACACCAGACAAAUCCCAAGAAGAUUUUUGGAGGUUGGGUUAACAUGACCCAGUUCUGAGGCUGUGAAGACAGGGAAGCCAGGCUGAGAAAACUGUGCAUGUUUUGUGAUAUUUAGUGAGCAUCAUGCAACCACUGCUAACAGAUCAGCCAAAUAAAGCUGUGUAAGAAAAGGUGAGAAAUGGGAGUGCUUUUUAACACACUUCUGCUCUGGCCCUGAGUUUUGUGUCUUUGCCUCAUGCCCACCCAACUGGAGCUCUUCCAUGUGUCACUGGAGCUGCUGUCGCAGGAACCAGAAGACUAGCUUCUCCAGCAGCCAACCAGGGGUAGGUGGCUUUGUGCAAGGAGGCUGCAGAGGAGAAUGUCCAGUUGUACUGAACCAGUCACACUUGUGACACGGGAACAGUACAUUCUUCAAGAAUGAAGCCAUUCAAAGCCCUUUGCUACCAAAGUCACAAGGAGGCAUUUGGAUUCCCACAGUCACCUCUCUCAAACUUGACUUGAGCCGCCACAGCCAAGUCACUUUGUUUCCACUGUAGCUCACAUUACGGGUGGCAGGUUCCACCUGUUUCAAUAUUUGGUUGAUGACGAAAGUGACCCUUGAGAGCGGAGUGACAUGGGCAGCUGAGCAGACUUCCAAACCAAUUGUGGGAAAAACCAAGAUAACCUGUACCCUAUAAAAGAGAUUAUGAAGACAAAUAAGGCCAAAAGAGGGUGCUGUGAGAAGUUUCUAUGUCUCAACUCUUUCUUGGGGUUAAUCAGUGUUGGGUGAGGGGUCAGUUUAAAGAGCAGAAGAAGCGGGCAUACGCUUAAGUUACAGAGGAAAGAAUGAAAAUCAGAUACAGUAAUGCUAACUCAGGAGGAGAAAGAAUAGACUUUGUAGAUUUCUGAAGCAGACACCUGGAAGCAAGACAGCACAACAAGUCCUUUUACUACUAGAAUGCUCUACAAGGAAGUAGGCGCAUCAGAGAGAGAAGGAGACACAAAAUCCUUUGCCAUCUUGAAAUACUCCUCCUCUAUGUCCCCUCAUCCUUGCCCUCCAGGCAAACCCCGCCUCUCCUCCAUGCUGUGCAUUAAUUGCUCUAUUCAUGAAUGUAAUGCCAGGACCAGAUUUCUCCCAACACAGCUUUUCACCCCACUCAACUUCUCAAAAGCCCUACCCCUUCCCAACCACCUCUCGAGAGUGGAUGAAGUGAUUGCUUAAGAUAAUUUAAGCACUGGGGAGAAUUUGACCAGCUCUCCUCCAUUUUAAGCUUGCCAUUCCAAAGAAGUGGUAGCCAGCUCAUGCAGACACUGGGGAAAACAUCAAGGUGUGGUAAGCAAGCACUGAAAGAGCACCUCAAAAGAUCUGGGGUCUUAUUUUGCCUUUGCCAUUUGCUUUCUGUGUGGCCUUGUGUCGAUAACUCAACGGCUCUCUGCCUACUUUAUUUCAAAAAGCCUGCCCAUAUUGUCUCUGAUGCAUUCUAAACAAAAAGGAAUCAACAGAUGGUCUUUCUUCCUCUUGCAUCGGGUCACUCACAUUAAAGGUUUCUGGAAUGCGCACAUUCUGAUCAUCAGAAUCUCAGAAAAAGACAGUGAGGGGGCAAAGACAGCCCUUUACAAGUGCUUGUAUGAUGUAAACCACAUUCGUCUCUCUCUGAAAUCUCGUCUUUCCCUUUUUUUUUUCCUAACCUAAAAGAAUUUACUUUAUAGAAAAAGAAUAAUUUUGUGAUUAAAGAUUAUUUCAAUUUAGGAAUUGUCAGUGAAUUCAAUUUUAUUUUAUAAUAUAGUCGGGGUAAAUGUAUAUCAUGUCGGAAUAAUCGAUGAUUUUCUUGAUGCCUUUCUUCAACUGCUAUAAGCACUGAUAUUUUCAUGACAUUAAAGGCUCUGUAGUUAAACCAGAACAUUAAAUGCUGUCACCAUUCAGCAUUUCCCUGAUUGAGGAAGAUGUUACAGCUGAAUUUUCAUUGGAGGAUGUCUGUGGACUUUUUAUAAUCAUUAAGACUCAUUACAUUAUUACUAGAUUUUCAUCUUCUAUGAAUCUUUAAGGAUCAAAACAAAAUAUAUGAAGAAAGGAAGGAUGCAUGUGUCGUUAUAGCUCCUUAACAAAUGGGAGAAAUGGUGCAGGAAAAUGGCCAAGUUUACCAUAAAUCACAAAAAUAGGAGUUCCCUUGUGGCUCAGUGGUAACAAAUCCAACUAGGAUCUGUGACGAUGAGGGUUCCAUCCCUGGCUUUGCUCAUUGGUUAAGGAUCUGGCAUUGCCAUGAGCUGUAGUGUAAGUCGCAGACAUGGCUCAGAUUCUGCAUUGCUGUGGCUGUGGUAUAGGCCAGCAGCUGUGGCUCAGAUUCGACCCCUAGCCUGGGAACUUCCAUAUGCUGCAGGUACAGCCCUAAAAAAAAUAUUUUUAAAUAGUUGGCAUUGAAGAGGUCACACUGUCUGUCCCUAGCCACCUUAAGUUUUAAAGGAAGCACUCAGAGUUCCUGUCGUGGCGCAGGGGAAACAAAUCCGACUAGGAACCAUGAGGUUGCAGGUUCGAUCCCUGGCUUCGCUCAGUGGGUUAAGGAUCCAGCAUUGCCAUGAGCUGUGGUGUAGGUUGAAGACGCGGCUUGGAUCUGACGUUGCUGUGGCUGUGGUGUAGGCUGGUGGCUACAGCUCUGAUUAGACCCCUAGCCUAGGAACCUCCAUAUGCCGCAGGUGCGGCCCUGAAAAGACAAAAAAUAAAUAAAUAAACAAAUAAAUAAAGGGAGCAUUCUGAGGCCCAUAGAGUUGAAGGGACUUGCCUUAAACCACACAGCUAGUAAGAGAGGCCUCCUUCCCAGACAUUGCACUGCUCCAUUCAUGCUCCAUCCCAGAGCCACUGGAACAGACUCACUCAUUCAGCAAAAAUGUCCUGAGAACCUGCUAGCAGGGGAAGUCCCAGACAGAAGGCCAAUUCUCAUCUGCUAAAAAAAAAAAAAAAAAUUCCUUUCUCCCCUCAAAGGGAAAAAAAAAAGAUCAAAGUCAAAAUGAACAGGGUCAUAGGUCAGGACAAGAUUUAGAGAGGCCUGAAGUUUAGGCAGACCUGGAUGCAUAGCCUGACUCUACGCUUUGCUAAUGUGUGACCUUGGGCUUCUGCAUCCUACUCUGUAAAACUGUGAAAAUUCCUCAGAAGUGGUUUGUGAGGAUGAAAGGAGAUGGCGCUUUUUUGUUUGUUUUUUGUUUUUUGGUAUUUUUAAAUAACAUAGUGUCUGGACACAGUAAGAGGGUGACGAAGUGGUCCCAGGUAGCACUACCACUGACUGAGCCAGGCUGGGAAAGAAAGAAUAUUUUUGUUCCCUUUUCCUUCAUUCUCCCCUCAGAUAGCCUAAGGGUGCUCUCCUCUUGCCCCUGCCGUCUGCACCACAUCAAGGCGGAGAGUUCCUUGCGUGUUACAAACGGCCUUGCAAGGCCUCACUUCCUGGGUUCUGCAUGCAGGGCUUCCUAACUCUAACUCUCUCUCUCUCUCUCUUCCUCUCUCUCGCUCUCUGGCUUUUCACUAAACCACGGCUUUUAAACUCCUCCAAGUCUGUGACUCAUCCACUAGUCCAAACUUGCACACAUUCCUACAAGAAAGAACUCAGAACUCUGCCUAUUAAAUUUCCAGUUACUAAUAAGACAUCAGAUUAGACAUUCAGCUGAGAAUGGCUGAAAAGCAAAACACAAGUGUAUUGAGAGCUCCCCCCAAUACACCCUUUAUUCUUGGCCUCUGUGAGUCCUUUAAUCCAUAACAAACAACGCAAAGUGCUACAUGAAAGGUGACAGGGGCGGGAUCCCCAGUGCUCCUGGAAGAGUUGGGAUAAGCGCUGGCAAACACAGAGUGAGGAGCAUGGAAAUGCCAAGGCAGUCAGGGCUAUAUAAAGACAGAUGCGUCAGUGUUCAGAACAGGGAACAUCUAUAAGACCCAGGGGUUAGCAGAAUGACGGUGGAGAGUGAAGCAAGAUAGCACCUGUUUGGAAAGGCUUCAAGGAAAAGAGUUCUGAAGGGCAGUGGGGUGACAGGCGGACCUCAGAGGUGACAAGAGGGAGCAGAGCGCAGAGGGCAAGGCGAUAACAGAAAGAAAAAGGGAGCAAAGAGCAAAAGUGAGGGUAUUUGCAAACUUCACCAGAACACCUUGCUGCCCACGUGAGCAAAGAGAACCGGAGAGCUGAAUACAUCUGAUUAGAAGCAGAGG